UCUUGCCUCAAUACCUUGGCUGGCUGACUGCCCUGCAGGCUGCCUUGUAGGGCAAGAGAGUCUGCAAAUAAACUAAUCACGGUAUUUUAGUGAAUCUAAAAUUAUUUCUUUUCUUUUUUUUUUCCCCCCUCUCAAAAGUUUCUUGCAAAGGCAGUGUAUUGUGGCUCUGUGUGGGGUUUGUUCAGCCUUUUCAUGCUUCAGCCAGGGAAUUGAAUAUUUUUUCUAUACAGGAGGAAGAGCCAUGGUGCUGAGGGCAAUGACACAGGCUGGUGGCUGAGCUCCUCUCUUUAUCUCCACCCUUCCUGAAGCUUGAUUCAACUGAGCAGCAGGUGUCCCAGCGGAGGCAGUGUGACCUGUGUGGCACAGACUGGUGUGUGUGUCUGUACUGCUGGCACCAGCACGCCCUGCUCCUGUCCUGACGCUGCUGUUAAAGGCAGAGAAUUUCCCUGAGUUUUGUCAGUGCUCCUGGCAGUUGUUGCUGAGGAACCUCGGGGCAUCCCUCACCGUACAGCUCGUCCAGAGCACUGCCAGUGCUGGAAGAGGACGGGGCAGGCAGAGCUUCUCUCUGCACUGCAUCUCCUCAGGGGCUCAGCCGAGACUUUGAAAAGCCUCCCUCCUCUUGGAAGCGCCAGGGCAAGCCUUGAGGGGAGUGGGGACAGUGUGGAGGUGGUGUGGAGGGGCUGACACCCAGGCAGGGUCUGAGCAGAGCCCCCGGCCUUCUCCUCCCCACAGGGCCGGGCAGCCUCUGCCUCAGGAGAAGGCACGGCCUGGUUCAGAGCCCCGAGAGCCUCUGCUGCCAUUUCCCCCAAGGCUGGCAGCUAAACAGCGUGUUUCAAGAAUGUGCUGUGCACUCCUGGAACUUCUGUGAGCCUUACUGAGUGCACUCACUGCAUGAGUACACUGAACUGUGCCUCGCACUUUUUUACAGCAUCUGUCCUCUAUCCCGGCAGAUCCUGAAUGCUGCUUCUGCACGAUAACUUCAUUACCUCAUGCCAUCUUCAGUGUCUGGCUCUUGAGCUUGGAGACAUGAGUAUGAUUCUGCCAAGAAACAAAUCCAACAGCCAUGGAAACAGCCUGACCACAGCCAAGGCAUCCCUGAGCUGCUCCUUAGGAAGGAUCAAAGCAUGAGUGAGUUCAAUCAUCCUCAAUCUGUGACCUGGGUAUGUUUUAGUGGAACAGCUCCUGGCUGAACACAAAACUAACUCUGAAGGAUCCAAGGAUCCACAAGGAUAACAGAAGACACACUUGGCAUGUGAUUUCCCUUUCAGUGAGACCAGGGCUGAAGUGAUUGACAUUAACUUAUUGCUCUCCAGAAAGGUGUCUUAAUUAAAUUUACACUGAAAAUUUUACAAAAGAAAAAAAAAAAAAUAGGAGCAGAGAAUGGUUUGAAUUUUGUUUCAUCUUUGUCAUCACUCUUCUUCUUUCCAUGUGUUUACUUAUGACUAUUCUUUUCUUUCUGGAAUUUCUCCCAAAUUCACUUUAGCCUAUGAAAUUUGUCAACAUUUACUCAAAGGGGUGAUGCAGCUUUACUGGGAGGAAGGGAAGCGCCAGGGUUGUUUGCAAGGUUGUUUUUGAACCAACCAGCCUUCUGUUUCUGUAAUGAAAAAAAACAACAACCAAACAAAAAUAAAAUCCGAAAUGGAGCGGCUUUAAUUAUGUUG
rnacentral:lncRNA from 1 species